AGUGAACGCUGGCGGCAUGCCUAAUACAUGCAAGUCGAAGGAAGCGGCGCACGGGUGAGUAAUAUAUAGCAAAUUUGCCCCUUGAUGGAGGACAACAGUUAGAAAUGACUGUUAAACCUCCAUAGCAAGGGAUGGGCAGAUAUCGUAUCAGCUAGUCGGUGGGGUAAAGGCCUACCGAGGCUAUGACGCGUAACUGGUCUGAGAGGAUGAGCAGUCGCAUUGGAACUGAGACACGGUCCAAACUCCUACGGGAGGCAGCAGUAGGGUAUAUUUCGCAAUGGGGGAAACCCUGACGGAGCAACGCCGCGUGGAGGAUGACACUUGUCGGAGCGUAAACUCCUUUUGUUAGGGAAGCGGUACCUGACGAAUAAGCACCGGCUAACUACGUGCCAGCAGCCGCGGUAAUUC
rnacentral:rRNA from 1 species